rnacentral:miRNA from 1 species
UCAUUUGUCUUCGUGUCUGCAUC